CAUAGACACGUGGUUCCCUCUUAUUCGUUGUCGGGAAAAUUUUUCAGCAAACUUCUUCAACCAUAUCGACUUCUCUCAUUUCUCAAUACUUCGUUUUUUCUUCGACACCGACGAUUUCCACUGCGUAAACCCAAAAUCGUCGAGACCUGAUCAGGUUUAGGCGAAGAAAAAAAUUUCUUCAGGUUUAGUCUUUCCGUCGAAAACAUUUGGUCGAAAUCGACGACGCCGGUGAAAGAGACUGUUUUCGCCGACCGAUUAAGCAAGUUCCACUUAUCUAUUACGGUUUGCAACGUUACUUGUCACUUGCUGGUUCACUUGUGUUUAUGCCUCUUGUCAUUGUACCAGCCAUGGAUGGUUCAGAUAGCGUGAGAGGCUUGAGGCUAAAAAAGAAGCUCUUGAGGAGUUAGCAAAGAGGAAAAUGGAGAUGAGAAAAGCAGAGACAAAGCAAUUAGUGGUUGAGAAAGUUAGGAAAGACGAAGAGAUAGAGAAGAACAAGCUAUUGGAAGAAGCAAAUAUUGAAGACGUGGAAACCGAUGACGAGAUCAAUGAAGUAGAGGAGUACGAAGCUUGGAAGUUUGCUCCUGGUUGCUACACUCUUGCUGUCUCAGAGCCACUCCCUGCGGCUAUGUAUAUGCAUUUGUCAUAACCUUAACAACAUUGAAUCAGAUUGAAGUUAAACCAAGAUUUUUGAUCAA